rnacentral:sRNA from 1 species
GUCCUGAGAGGUGUCGGAUGCUCUUGGCUUUAAGGAUCAAUGUCUUAGCCAAAGGAUACAGUGGCAUUUCCCUGGAGACCCUCAAACAAGUCAUAGAAAUGUUUAAUGCCUCCUGCCUGCCCUAUGUUCCAGAGAAAGGAACCGUUGGUGCCAGUGGAGACCUUGCCCCACUCUCUCAUCUUGCUCUUGGGCUAAUUGGAGAAGGGAAGAUGUGGUCUCCAAAGAGUGGCUGGGCUGAUGCUAAAUAUGUAAGACUCGUAGCAGCUUCUAUCUGCAGCAAUUGCCCUAGGUUGGACACCAACUGUGCUUCCAUGCUUCGUAUCACCUAAUCCUUACAACAGCCCAGUGAGGG